rnacentral:lncRNA from 1 species
CACAAUAUCUAUAUUCACAUGGAAGGAGUAUUGUCUUUUCAAUUUCAAUCACAUCAUGCAUUCAGGCAUUUAAGCACUCACAUAUUACUCCCACAAUGAGCGUUUAACCGAUAACCAUAAGGCUGCAUCAUUUCCAUCUGUAUCUGAACUUGUGAAAAAGUUCAUAUCAUACCAAUUGUGUUCAAGACUUGCAGACAGUAAAACUACAUCUAUCAUUCAAAUAGUUCAUCAAUCAAACUGAUUUGUAACGAAAGUGAUCAGAUUUUGGCUGUCAUAACCACAACAGUUCAAUAGAAAGGAUAAUAAUUAACCACACAGGAACAACAAUAAGCACAUAAGUUCACCAAAAAUUCCAAAAUUCUUAACAAUAUCACAAACAAAACAGCACAAGAAAUCAUCAUCUAAUCACACCCAUUUUAACUCUAAACCCCAAGAAUCAUAUCCCCGCUCUGAUACCAUUUGUAACACCCUGACCCAGAUUAACAGAAACAGAAUAACCCAAAAAUAGGGUCUCCAGAACAUAUAUAUUGUACCAAUUAGAUCUUACCAUUAUGCAAGCCUAAAUAAGCAAUUGUCUAUCUAUGUCGAACUCAGCCAACAAAUCCCCAUCAAAGUGAUCAAGAGAACUGAUCGACGAGCCUCCCUCCCAACAGCUAAAGAUCGAUUAGUGGAGGAAGUCGGUGUGAGAGGUAAACUCGAGGGCGAUGUCGGGGUCGAUGUUCUCUCUCUCUCUUUCUUCCCUUCCUCCGUGUACCAUGACACGACCCACCCCGAAUUUCACCCUGAAACCCAGAGUAAGUCGUGCGGGGACCACCUCCAAGGAAAAUUUACUGAAAAGAUUAAGCAAAUCUCCCUUGCAGAUGGACAACCCUAAGUCGAAAAUUUCAUAUUACACUUCUGAACUUUACAUAAUAUACAAAAAUUCUAAAGUAUUCAGAGCUACUAAACACAAGCGGAAGCAAGAAAACACAAGUAGGUUGAACAGGUAACCUACUGAUGAAAACUGGCCGAAAAGCGGGUGACUAUGCCUCGUCUCCUACUAGAUCCAACCCGAACUCUGCAGACUGGGCAAUUUAAAACGAGGGCCCAGGGGAAAACAUUUAAUAACGUUAGAGUGAGUGGACAAAAAUAAAUAAUAAAUAAAAUAUUAUNNNNNNNNNNNNNNNNNNNNAAACUUUUUCAGACAAUAAGUCUCACAAUAGUAAAUACUAACCUUGAACUUAAUCAGGCUAUAGCAUCAUGAACUAUUUUAAAGGCUAAAACUGAAGGUGGUGCUUGUAGAUACCAGAGUAUUUUACCUGCACAUUACGCUCACCCAAGAGUAUUGCAUUUAGGCUUCCAUUGAUGUUCAGUUAACCCUUACAGCUACACACAGCAUAUGCAGUUGCAUAUAUAUAUGUAAGUGGAUAUAAAGAUAACAGAAUAACAUAUGAUACCAUGGUUCAGGGCAUGGACUAAAAGAAUUUGAUUUUCAAAUGUCAUGCAUAAAAACAAUCUGUCAAGGAAAGGAAUUCAACAUCCAGAUUUAUUACCCUCAAGAAACUUCCAGUCUGAUAACAAUAUCUGUAACACAGUGCCCGUAUUCCUUAAUCAAAACAAAAUCAAUUGAAUCCUUAUUAAUACAUGUUGCAUAUCAUCAGUUUCAUGUAGGUCCACAAAACUUAAAUGUACCAAGGCCUGAAAUACUCAUCAUGAAAUGAGUAUGGAAGUAGAAAAGAAUAUCCCAGUGUUCAUAUAAAAACUAAAUACCGAGCUAGUGUUUCCAAUCUUGGAAAUCAAACUGAACAACAUCUCAAGGAGCAGUAAAUUACUCCUUUACCAGAACAGAAACCAUAUAUGAUACGUAAAAUUAUAACCAUGAAACCAGAGUAAGAAUAAUACAAAUGCUUCAUCCAAAACCAAACAGGGAAUAAGUGUUCACUAGGUAAUAUGCAGUGAUACAAUACUUAAAAUAUCAAUACACUAAUCAAUUUCUUAAGCUCUUAUUUGAAUUGAAAUCAAAAGCAAUAUGUCAUUGGUUAGGAAGCAUCAGGCACAAAGUUCUUUAGUCUAAGGACAUCAUGGUCUUAAGUCAAAGAAAUUAAAACCUCAUGGAUAUGCGAUUCACAUUAUCACAUUAUCGUGCCAUUAAAGGGUAAAGCAUCACAAUCAAAAACUAAGUAGGCAAAAUAUUCCAGAAAUUUUUUUUUUUGUUUCUGAUAAAACAGUGCAACAGAGCACUCAUCACAGAAAGGAUAAAAGAAAGAGACCCACAAUAACAAGAGAAAUAUCAAACCAGAAAACAACAGUCCCACUUUACCCAAGAUUAUAAUCCAAGCACAAUAUCUAUAUUCAUAUGGAAGGAGUAUUGCCUUUUCAAUUUCAAUCACAUCAUCCAUUCAGGCAUUUAAGCACUCACAUAUUACUCCCACAAUAAGCGUCACUACCAGGACAAGCACUUUAGCCGACGAAAAUUUUUCGUCGGCCUGUCAGCUUAAUUCGUCGGCUAAGAUCUUAGCCGACGACCUUUCGUCGGCUAAGAUUUCGUCGGGAAAAGCUCGUCUGUGGUGACUUUAGCCGACGACACUACGUAUAAGUCGUCGGUUAUCUNNNNNNNNNNNNNNNNNNNNUCACCGGUCCAGGGACGUUGCUGGGUUGGAGGUCGUUCGAUUGGGACCGGUGCGGCGGCGGUUGGUGGCCGGACGGCGGCGGGAGGACGGCCGGAAGUCUGCUGGGUGUAAAGAGAAGAAAAACGGGUGGGAGGAGAGAGAAUCGGGAGAGAGGGAGAAGAGAAAAGAAGAAGAAAUGGGUUGGGCUCGGCCCAGCCGACCCAACAAUCCUUUUAACUCAAAAUUCCAAAAUUCAACACCCCGAAAAAUAAUACCCGAAUAAAAAUUACCUUUUACUAGCUAAAAUUUACCAUUUUUACCGUCGUCGUAUUUUCCUCAUACGAAUUAUCCUCCGCUCAUAAUCGUCCCCGAAACCCCUCUAGGGACCAAUUAAACUAUUUACUCAAUGAUCGGGACGGUAAAAUUCUUAUUAUAAUCACGCUAGUAAAUAAGGUAAAAAUAUAAGGGUCGGGAUGUGACAUACCAUGACCGUGUACCAGGACCGUGAGAGAUCUUAGAUCCUUGAGAAAAUAAAAAGAUAGAGUCCGAGUCAAAGUCGGUGCCCCCUUCUUCUCGACCCUUCUUCCCAACUCUAGACAAUUUUUAUUUAUAUUUAUUUUUUUAUUAUUAUUAUUUAUUUACCA